AUCUCUGACUGAGGCUUUAGUUUUUGUUGAGCCGAUUUACACGUAGAAACUUUGUUCAGGAAGAUUUCUCAGUAGCUCAGAGGACAGGAUGCUUUUUACACAACCUUGUAAGAGAAUGUCUGUCAAUGCUUUCAGCAGAAUUUAGAAACACAACACUUCCUAAACAGAUAUUUUGAGGCUGUGAGGUUGAACGUUUGAGAGUCUAUCAGUGUGUUUGUUUGUGGUCUUUCUGUUUCUAGGUGGAAGCUGAAUUAGUGAGGAUGACUCCUGCUCCUGUCAUCUCUAAGCUCCUCCCACAUCUUUACCUGCACAUGAGGAAAAUCACUCCUGUAGAAUGCAGAUGUUCAGAGGGAGAUGAUGCCACAUCUGGUCCAGCUGAUGGAAGGUCUUGAAGUUCUCUGACUGGCCUCGACUGAAGAUGGUCGUCUCACUGGAUUUAAGGUUCAGAUGCUCAGUAACAAACUCCACCAAUGAGCCAACAGGGAAGUUUUAGGUUUAUUAAAUGUUGCUAUGAAGGUUUCGCUGUUUUUCUUUGUGAAUGCAAUGAGCUCCAACUGAAACUUGAAUUAGAACUUAGAAGUAAAUCCUUCCAUCUGAAAGCAUUUAGUUGCAUUAAUAACCUCACAACAUUCUUAUUUUUAUUCCAGUCUUGGUUGGAAAUAGAAUUUCUGUUUUGAUUCAGGUAAAAACUGAACUUCACAGCAUGUUGGAGCAAAACAACCAGAUAAAAACUGUGAUGGUGUUGGAUUGUCAGACUGUAAUGUUGCAGCUCAAAGCAGCUUUUCUAUCUCAGUUCAUUCUGACAUUCAGCUAUGAAUCAACACAGCAGAUGGUGAUCCAUGCUGUGGAAAUCUCACAUCUCCUGAUUUAAUGGAGCUGCUUUGCACUUUUUACACUGUUUAUUCACCAACACUUUAUUUAAUAAAAGUCCCAUCUAGUUUUCAUGAGGAAUAUGAUAUUUUAAUUUCUCUGUGAAUAACUGCAGUCUAAUGCAACAGCUGAAACUGUAACAUCUGUCCUGAUAUUGAUCAUGAAGUAUUGAUCAGAAUACUUAUGGUUAGCAGUCAUCCCUGAAGUUUUACAUUCAAAUCUUUACUUGUGUUGUGAACUUUGGUAAGAAGCAGAAACUUUAGCGUUGCCAUGGAUACGUGAGUGUUAAAUUCUGUCCAUGUUUCCAUUUUGGGAAAUUCAGUCCAGCAGAUGAGUUUGUUUUUACUGCCAGCUACCAUUCAGUCUGAGAUAUUAAGAAUAAAUAAAUGUGCAUAAUGUGGAAAUGAACAGAUUUUAUUUUUAUUUAUUCCUACAGCUACUGCAUGUAAAGUUCCAGAAUGUGGAGGAAUUUAGUCUCAUAAUCACAGACAAUAAAUAUUAUCUGAAAGUCGGGUUAUUGUUGUUUAUCAGCACAAUACAAAAAGAUUAAUGUUAGAAAUAUUCCAGUUAAGACUCUAGAAUAUCAUGAUUUAUGUAAAUUUACCUCAAUAAUAUGAAUGUUCAGGUUAAGAUUGUGCAGUGAUAUUUAUUAUGUAAGUUUAGCUGAUUAAAGUUUAUGACUUUGCACUAAAAUAUUAUUUGACAUCAUUAUUAUAAUAUUUAGGGUCAGACUCUACAGUAUUAAGAUUAAGAAAUCAAAUAUUCUAUAAAAUGUAAAUACACUGAACUCAUUUGGAUAUAUUUAAGUGAGAAUCUAAAAUAUUAUCUGACACAAAUCUAUCUAAAUCAAAAUUGUCAUCAUUUUUACUCCAAACAUUUACUGGACUGAUUUAAACAUUAAAAUCACUCCUUUCUAAUCCUCUGCUGUACGUUCAAACCUGAGGCCUUAAGUAGAAACACACAAGUAUCUGAUUGAAGGAACUUCUGCAGAGUCCUGGUUCCAGAACAUGAUGAUAGAAUUAUAGACAAACUUUAACAAAAGCUGCCUGAGAGUUUACAGGUUUUUAUGUUGGAUUUCUUAAGUAAUUUAAUGAGUUAUCAGGAAAAAUCAAGUGUUCAUUUGAUGAACUUCAUUUCCUAAAACAUCCCGAAUUGGAGCUCAUAUCUUUGGCAGCUGUAAAGUUUCUGCUCCUUCAAAGUUCACAACACAAUGAAUGAAUUCCUAAAACACUCUCAAUGCUGGAGAGCGUUUGUGAUGCUGAAGCAGUGAUCAGUUUUUCUGUUUCUUCUCUGGAGAUGCACAAUGAGGGACGUCUGCAGAGACUGAGAAAGAGCCUCACCACAUCCUGACAUGAGGAAAAAGACUUUACUGAAGACUACAAUGAGAAAAACUAUCAGACAGCAGACGGCUGCAUUCAAGUCUGUAGCUGCUGAAUUCAUGGAUGAAUCAUCUGGCACUAGAGAGGAAGACCAUCAAACAUCCACGUCAGCUGAUGGAGGUCCAAGAGUCUCACCCAACAACCAACCUACAGAGUGAAGACCUCAAAUCUGAUUGGACGGCCUCCUAUUCAGCCACAGUGUGAACAAAUGCCUCUAAGCUGAUUUGUUUUCUAAAAUAAAUCUAGUUUGAGUCCUAAUCUAUGCCUGUGUGUUUGUUUCUUUACACUGCUGUUAACAGUUUAGGCUGUUAGAUUGUUCCAGAUAAGACAAGUACAAGAUUCUUCAGAGCCGUUCUACCAUGAGCCUGACAGGAAGAACUCCAACAGCUACUGAAUGUUACUGUGGUUCCCUCAAGGCUACAGGAGGAGUCCUACGAGGACGAGCUGGUCCACCUGAUGGCGGCCAGUCACUGUGGUUCAAAGCCAACACCGACUACAUGGACUUCUACUGGACCACACGGAGGCCUUCAAACCGGACCAACAAGUUCACCGACUCCCCGACUCGUGGGUCUGAGGACGCCGCCGAGCCUCGGCUCAGCCGGCCUCCUGUCUGUGGGUGUUUGAGUGCUGAGAGGUUUGUGGAUGCAUGUGAACGUUCUGUGUUGAAACAGCAGCUUUGGACUCAGUAACGCUGGGAAAAACCAAGAGCUCCUUUAUUUGUGACUUCCACUUAAAAAAACUGAUGAAAAUAAGUUUGUCAGGGUUCUGACUGAUAACAGAUUAUUAGAUAAUGAAAAUAAUCAUUUAAAUAUUCCUUUAAACAAUCCUUUCAGGUCUACAUUUCCUUUACACUGACUUCUUAGUAUAUGUACAAGUAUUUUGGGUGGAAUAUACCAUUAAGCCCAAUGUUCAAUGGUUCUUCUGGGAAUAU